GGUUGGUGACGCGCGCGCAGUUCUCCAGGCGCAGUGCGCGCAGGCGUGGGCAGCAGCGCAGCAGGCGCGCCAGGCAGUCGUCGGUAACGUGGCCGCAGCCCGACAGCGUGACGGACGCCAGGUUGGGGCACCUGUGAGGAGAGUGCGGUGACCCGGGGCUCACUGCCUUGUUAAAGCCACCCAACCGCCCCGGGGGACUGAGUGGACUCAUUUACCGAGGAGGACUCGGGCCCUGCGAGGUCACUUCAUCCUGGCCCAGGUACAGCAGCUCCAAAUCGUGGGGAUUCUGUAAGAGCUUGCUACCUGUUGACUGAGGAGGCCCACGAGUCGAGGAGAACUAUCAAGAGUGGUACAAAACUGCAGGUCAUUGGGCUGGCCACCAGGUAUUCCCACCCACCAGAAGCUGGCUGUUGUACUCACCCGGAACCGUGGUGCACCACCACAGCAGCGAGGUCAUACAGGCAGCUCUCCGGGCCACUGUUCUCAGGCUACAGAACAAGGAAGAAGGAGCAGUGGUCAAUGACAUCGGUAUCUUGAUGACCUCUACCCUCUCCAUGUGAUGACAAUCUUACUGAAGAGCCAUUUUUUCACCACGCUAAAAAGGUAACCACCUUACCUCUAGUAAGUAGCAUUUCAUGUCUAGGCCUCUCAGUGGAAAUUCUACGUAUGUAUCAACUUUAUUUCUUAAAUAUGCUGUCCAAUGAAAUCUUUUCAAAUGUAAGCAUAGCACCUGGAGGACAGAGAUGAGGUCAAAGAUUGUGAACACCUAAUUCACCUUUCAGUCAAAGUUUCAUACUAUUAUCAGUUCAGUAAAUAACAUUUUAGCUGCCCUAUCAAUCAUUCUUCCAUGCAUACCUUAUGCAUUCAUUCUGUAAAGGGUUUAGCUUUUACUGAAAACCCUAGAGACAAAUACAGAACAGUUCACAUAAUGUAAAGUUAUAGACAUGGUCUUAGCAGUCAAGCAUUUUCCCCUUGAAACUGCUUCAUAACUCAGAAUUCAACACUCACCUUGGGUAGUUUUUGAAUCCAAAACUUUUUUGUGGACUUUUGUUUCUUUUUGCAUUUAUGGCACAUAUAUAACUCUGUCUCAUCAAGUUCUUCUAAGUCGGUAAAACUGCGAAGACAAUCUAAACAAAUUGAUUUUGGCAGCAUUAAAACAAGAUGCCUUUUAUAGAGGCAAUGUACUGUAGAAAAAAGACCCAGGUUUAAAAUCUCAGCUUUAUUAGCUAUACGACCUUAGAAAAGUUAACCUUUCUCAGUUGCAAACUGGAGACAAAAAAUAAUACCUACUUUGAAGAACUAUUGUAAGGAAGAAAAAUAACAUGUGUAGAGCACCUGGCAUCAUGCCUGACAUCUGGUGAUGAUCAAUUGUGUUGGUUUUACUAUUAAUGAAAAUUCAUCUGGAUAAUUCUGAUAAAAUGGUUUCCUGAUGAAUUUAAAGUUUUAAUUGUAGUUUUCUGUCAAUAUGUUACAUUAUACAGGACAAAGCUCCACACUCAUAAAAAAAGUCAAAUUUAGAUCAUUUAAAAAUAAACAUUAGAUCACAGAAGGCUACACUAUCAACCUUCUCUGUCCAGAAGCUAUACUCUCAGUUCCUAGAUAAAUCACAGCUACAUUUUUUUUCAUUUAAAGAUGUAAUUGUGUAACCCGGGGUUUAGUAAACUGCAGCCCUAAAACAUCCAGCCAGCCACCUGGUUUUGUAAAUAAAGUUUCACUGGAACA